CAGAGUGGGACUCCAGGACACGCCUCUCACCCAGCGUUCCUCCCCAUCCGUCAGCUCGCGUGACCGUGCUCGCGUCCAGGGGAGUUCUGACCUCGGUGACACAGAUCAGGAAAAAAAGGUGCUGGAUAAAAUCAGCCAACUUUUGGAGACAGACUCCCUUACCAAGAUCCAAGAAUGGUUUGCAAGGGCAAGUAAACAAGAGAAAGACUUUGUGUUCAGUCUGGUGGAUUGAGAACUGACUGAGAAAGACGUGCUGAAAUCUGAGGAAGGUGCAGCAGAGAACAUCAACAGCCCGACUCUGCUGAAGCCUCUCC